AUUGAACGCUGGCGGCAGGCUUAACACAUGCAAGUCGAGCGGGGGAAGGUAGCUUGCUACCGGACCUAGCGGCGGACGGGUGAGUAAUGCUUAGGGAUCUGCCUAUUAGUGGGGGACAACAUCUCGAAAGGGAUGCUAAUACCGCAUACGUCCUACGGGAGAAAGCAGGGGAUCUUCGGACCUUGCGCUAAUAGAUGAGCCUAAGUCGGAUUAGCUAGUUGGUGGGGUAAAGGCCUACCAAGGCGACGAUCUGUAGCGGGUCUGAGAGGAUGAUCCGCCACACUGGGACUGAGGAACGGCCCAGACUCCUACGGGAGGCGGCAGUGGGGAAUAUUGGACAAUGGGGGGAACCCUGAUCCAGCCAUGCCGCGUGUGUGAAGAAGGCCUUAUGGUUGUAAAGCACUUUAAGCGAGGAGGAGGCUACUUUAGUUAAUACCUAGAGAUAGUGGACGUUACUCGCAGAAUAAGCACCGGCUAACUCUGUGCCAGCAGCCGCGGUAA
rnacentral:rRNA from 1 species